UACGUAGGGGGCAAGCGUUGUCCGGAUUUAUUGGGCGUAAAGCGCGUGUAGGCGGCAUGGCAAGUCGGGUGUGAAAGCCCUCAGCUCAACUGAGGAAGUGCGCCCCGAAACUGCUUUGCUUGAGUGCUGGAGAGGGUCGCGGAAUUCCCCAAGUAGAGGUGAAAUUCGUAGAUAUGGGGAGGAACACCGGUGGCGAAGGCGGCGACCUGGACAGUAACUGACGCUGAGACGCGAAAGCGUGGGUAGCAAACAGG
rnacentral:rRNA from 1 species